AAAUCGGGCGGUAAAUUCCGUCCAAGGCUAAAUAUUGGCGAGAGACCGAUAGCAAACAAGUACCGCGAGGGAAAGAUGAAAAGGACUUUGAGAAAAGAGUCAAAGAGUACUUGAAAUUGUCGGGAGGGAAGCGGAUGGGGGCCGGCGGUGCGCCUUGGUCGGAUGUGGAACGGCGUCUAGCCGGUCUGCCAAUCGACUCAGGGCGUGGACCGACGCGGAUUGCAGUGGUGGCCCAAGCCUGAGCCUUCGUUGUGCUUGUGGAGACGUCAUCACCGCGAUCGUGGCUGGCAGCGCGCGCCUCUGGCGUGCUUCGGCAUCAGCGCGCUCCGGGCGUCGGCCUGCGGGCUCCCCAUUCGGCCCGUCUUGAAACACGGACCAAGGAGUCUGACAUGUGUGCGAGUCAACGGGCCAGUAAACCCGUGAGGCGCAAGGAAGCUGACU
rnacentral:rRNA from 1 species